rnacentral:rRNA from 1 species
AAAAGAAACCAACAGGGAUUGCCUUAGUAGCGGCGAGUGAAGCGGCAAAAGCUCAAAUUUGAAAUCUGGCACUUUCAGUGUCCGAGUUGUAAUUUGAAGAAGGUAUCUUUGGGUCUGGCUCUUGUCUAUGUUUCUUGGAACAGAACGUCACAGAGGGUGAGAAUCCCGUGCGAUGAGAUGUCCCAGACCUAUGUAAAGUUCCUUCGAAGAGUCGAGUUGUUUGGGAAUGCAGCUCUAAGUGGGUGGUAAAUUCCAUCUAAAGCUAAAUAUUGGCGAGAGACCGAUAGCGAACAAGUACAGUGAUGGAAAGAUGAAAAGAACUUUGAAAAGAGAGUGAAAAAGUACGUGAAAUUGUUGAAAGGGAAGGGCUUGAGAUCAGACUUGGUAUUUUGUAUGUUACUCUCUCGGGGGUGGCCUCUACAGUUUACCGGGCCAGCAUCAGUUUGAGCGGUAGGAUAAGUGCAAAGAAAUGUGGCACUGCUUCGGUAGUGUGUUAUAGUCUUUGUCGAUACUGCCAGCUUAGACUGAGGACUGCGGCUUCGGCCUAGGAUGUUGGCAUAAUGAUCUUAAGUCGCCCG